UAUAUAUAUAUACAUAUAUAUAUAUAACAUACAUGAAUGUAAUUUAUACAUUUGUAUAUAUAUAUAUAUAUAUAUAUAUAUAUAUAUAUAUAUAUAUAAUUAGAUGUUAAUGUCUAUUUGUGCAUGUUUGUUUUCUCACUUCACAUGUAUACAUUAAUGUGUAUCUCUCUGUAUGUGUACAUGUGUGUGUAUUUUUAUGUGUGUGUGU